UACGUAGGGUGCAAGCGUGGUCCGGAAUUACUGGGCGUAAAGAGCUCGUAGGUGGUUUGUCGCGUUGUUCGUGAAAACUCACAGCUCAACUGUGGGCGUGCGGGCGAUACGGGCAGACUUGAGUACUGCAGGGGAGACUGGAAUUCCUGGUGUAGCGGUGGAAUGCGCAGAUAUCAGGAGGAACACCGGUGGCGAAGGCGGGUCUCUGGGCAGUAACUGACGCUGAGGAGCGAAAGCGUGGGGAGCGAACAGG
rnacentral:rRNA from 1 species